rnacentral:rRNA from 1 species
GAUGAACGCUGGCGGCGUGCCUAAUACAUACAAGUCGAGCGAACGGACGAGAAGCUUGCUUCUCUGAUGUUAGCGGCGGACGGGUGAGUAACACGUGGAUAACCUACCUAUAAGACUGGGAUAACUUCGGGAAACCGUAGCUAAUACCGGAUAAUAUUUUGAACCGCAUGGUUCAAAAGUGAAAGACGGUCUUGCUGUCACUUAUAGAUGGAUCCGCGCUGCAUUAGCUAGUUGGUAAGGUAACGGCUUACCAAGGCAACGAUGCAUAGCCGACCUGAGAGGGUGAUCGGCCACACUGAACUGAGACACGGUCCAGACUCCUACGGGAGGCAGCAGUAGGGAAUCUUCCGCAAUGGGCGAAAGCCUGACGGAGCAACGCCGCGUGAGUGAUGAAGGUCUUCGGAUCGUAAAACUCUGUUAUUAGGGAAGAACAUAUGUGUAAGUAACUGUGCACAUCCUGACGGUACCUAAUCAGAAAGCCACGGCUAACUACGUG